rnacentral:rRNA from 1 species
UACGGAGGGUGCAAGCGUUGUCCGGAUUUAUGGGUUUAAAGGGUGCGUAGGCGGCCUAAUAAGUCAGUGGUGAAAGCCUCCAGCUUAACUGGAGAACUGCCAUUGAUACUGUUAGGCUUGAGUAUACUUGAGGUAGGCGGAAUUGACAGUGUAGCGGUGAAAUGCAUAGAUAUUGUCAAGAACACCAAUUGCGAAGGCAGCUUACUAAAUUAUAACUGACGCUGAGGCACGAAAAGUGUGGGUAUCAAACAGG